UACACCUACGGGGGGCAGCAGUGGGGAAUAUUGCACAAUGGGGGAAACCCUGAUGCAGCGACGCCGCGUGAAGGAAGAAGUAUUUCGGUAUGUAAACUUCUAUCAGCAGGGAAGAAAAUGACGGUACCUGACUAAGAAGCCCCGGCUAACUACGUGCCAGCAGCCGCGGUAAUACGUAGGGGGCAAGCGUUAUCCGGAUUUACUGGGUGUAAAGGGUGCGUAGACGGGAAAUUAAGUUAGUUGUGAAAUCCCUCGGCUCAACUGAGGAACUGCAACUAAAACUGAUUUUCUUGAGUGCAGGAGAG
rnacentral:rRNA from 1 species